GGCGCUUGAAAUAUCGGCUGGAUCACAUCAGAAAAUAUAUCUGGGUAUGCUGUGAUGGUCGCUUCCCCUUUUACUGGUUUGCCGUAGGUGUACCUAAAACGUUUACAUCUAAUUAUUUCGAGAAAUGAGUUUGAGAAGCACUCGAUACACCUGUGCGUCAGAGCGAUAGUAGGAAGCUACGUCUUUGCCGAAACAGGAGCUAUGUCUCACUGAUAUUGAACGUGAUGAGCAUAGCUUUACAGGUAACUCGCUACUCACCUCAAAGAAUUUGGGUCGGCUUUCCCUGAUUCUCUACUAAACGCAGCUUUCUAAUAUGGAACAAAGCUAUCGGGAUUCUUUACCGAAAACACAAUCUUCCGCAGGCGUAGGAUGAUCAGCGAUCCAGGAAAUGAUGAACCGCGAAAUGUACAACAGGAGCAAAGCAAUCACAAUUUGAUACACGCCGAUGAGUUAAAUACUCGUAGGACGUAUAAAUAAGGCGCGUCGCUGUACGCGGAUCUUUUCGGAUUUUGGAGGUGAUAAAACAGAGCACACGAAGAACCGGGCGUGUCGAAGCGAACGAUGAAUGUAGUAGGAAAUUAGCGCGGCGAAACUGGUUUUCUCCGAGCGACGGCGGUCACACCUUGAGAAGAUCUGUGGGACCGAUGCAGUGCCAAUCAAGGUAGCCGUUGAUCGCUAGGAAUCCUUUCUCUCCUCCGCAUUCCCCACUUUUUCCUCGAGUAUGACGCCCCGUGACUUUUUAUACAUAUACAUAUAAUGUAUUCUUGUAGACUGCCGAUCUAACGUAUAUACAUGGGUAUAAACCGUUACGAUUACGCAUAUUGAAGUACGGUGUAAUACAAUUGAAGUUUUAUGCAAGUGGUACGACAUAACUGUGCGUUUGGGAAAAUCGCAAUUAUUCCCGGACAUUCGGCCGCUGUUGCUUAUGCAGGUUUAUGUAUUGCAACUCCUAAUUCAUAAUGAUUAAAUAACCAGCUUAUUAUCCUCAGUCGUAAAAAGGACUAUAUCCUACAAAUUAUGACGCUCCAAAAAGCAGGACUGCAAUGAGCCGCGCAAUGGCCGCUUAUAAAUUGAGCCGCCCAUGUUUCUCAUCUAUCUCCUAUUCUUUAAUCGUGUAGUCAGAUGCGUGUUUUCUAUUUCUUUGAUUCACCUUGCUCAACACCUGCCCACACAGACAUCGCAUAUUCAACAAUUGGUAAAAUCCACUCGGUGAUGUCGAUAUGAAUACACAUUCGUGGUUGCAAUUUAAGAACUCUCUAACUGAAAAGAAAAAAUGCAUUUCGUUCGGUGAUUUCAUCAUUUCACCUUGCAUACGAAGGUUGCCUGCACAGACUUUACGUGGGUGUCAGUCACUGCCUGUACUGUACUGCAUAUGCUUGCUGUGGAACCUGCCACUAUGCUACCAUCCCACUGAUCGUCACGUAACUUAAAUGCUCAAACGGCUCUGCAGUGUUGCCACCCCAUUGAUUGUAAGGGGUUUAGUGGCGGAAUCUUAGAGCAUUUACAGUAAUAUGCUCCAAGGGGGAAUCUGAUCGUGAGCCAUCUUGAAUUAAGCGACGAGCGGUGAGAGAGAGAUAGGU